GGUGGUUCAUUAGGUUGAACAGUUCUACUUUUUCUGUCUGUGUUAUUGUUUUAUGACUAACUUGAUUUGUAUUUUGUCUUGCAGAUACAUUUACUGUUCAGGAAAUGGUGAGGAACAUGGUAUGAGAUAUGCUUGAAGUCAUAUCCCCUACCAUUGGAGAAGGUUGGAGACAAAUGCCCUUCCAGUAUGACUACUUCUGUAUCAUCCAUAAAGACAGGAAGUGUGUCUUGAUCCAUAGUGGGUGGCUUGGGAGAGAGGCAUAUGCUAUUUGUCAGUCUUUUCAGGAGCAGAGAAACGCAUGGGAUCCUUCUAAUGAUCGGCAGCCACCAUCUUGGUCAGGAGAUUUCUUGCCUCUGUGACGGUGAUGAUGUGGACGGUAGAUGCGAGAUAUGAAACUGUUAGAAAUGUAAGGAGAAAAAGCUCUGAAUUAGUGU
rnacentral:lncRNA from 1 species